UACGAAGGGGGCUAGCGUUGCUCGGAAUCACUGGGCGUAAAGGGUGCGUAGGCGGGUCUUUAAGUCAGGGGGGAAAUCCUGGAGCUCAACUCCAGAACUGCCUUUGAUACUGAAGAUCUUGAGUCCGGGAGAGGUGAGUGGAACUGCGAGUGUAGAGGUGAAAUUCGUAGAUAUUCGCAAGAACACCAGUGGCGAAGGCGGCUCACUGGCCCGGUACUGACGCUGAGGCACGAAGGCGUGGGGAGCAAACAGG
rnacentral:rRNA from 1 species